rnacentral:rRNA from 1 species
GGCUCAGAUUGAACGCUGGCGGCAUGCCUUACACAUGCAAGUCGAACGGCAGCACGGGAGCUUGCUCCUGGUGGCGAGUGGCGAACGGGUGAGUAAUACAUCGGAACGUACCCUGAAGUGGGGGAUAACGUAGCGAAAGUUACGCUAAUACCGCAUAUUCUGUGAGCAGGAAAGAGGGGGAUCGCAAGACCUCUUGCUUUAGGAGCGGCCGAUGUCGGAUUAGCCAGUUGGUGAGGUAAAGGCUCACCAAGGCGACGAUCCGUAGCGGGUCUGAGAGGAUGAUCCGCCACACUGGGACUGAGACACGGCCCAGACUCCUACGGGAGGCAGCAGUGGGGAAUUUUGGACAAUGGGCGCAAGCCUGAUCCAGCCAUGCCGCGUGAGUGAAGAAGGCCUUCGGGUUGUAAAGCUCUUUCGGUGGGGAAGAAAUUGCACAGGAUAAUACCUUGUGUAGAUGACGGUACCCGCAUAAGAAGCACCGGCUAACUACGUG